UACGUAAAUUCUGUUUAUGCAGAUAAAAAGAAAAAGAUACACGUAAGGUCGAUCGGAGUAAAACCGCGUUAUCGAGUAGUCAUCGAUUACUAGUAGAGAGUGUUACAUCCAUAUUUUAAACAUUCUAGAUUUCUGACACAUAAAAUAUAUAACAUACACGUUACACAUUCUCUUUGUAUACAAUACAUGUAUACAAUUAAUGUAUUAUUGAUUAUAAAAAAGUGCACAUGUUGGAAAACAUGAUAUUGUUUCAUUUAUAUGGUGUUCUCGUGAUUAAUUGAAUCGGUGGAAGGGCCUGGAAAUAAAAAGAAUUUGAUAGGACUGACAUCACCAAUUCGCAGACGCAGAAUGUUGCAGCAAAACAUGGUGGUUGUAAAGAACGCUGUGAAGCGUUAUGGGAAAGAAGAGUUGGUGCUCGACGGAUUCAAUAUGACGGUUUCAAACGGUUCCGUGUAUGUAACCAUUCUUCGUCUUGCCAACACAAA